rnacentral:lncRNA from 1 species
GUAGCAAGUUGUAACUUUUCAGACAAUGUGGUGGGUAUUAUUCGUCCAACAUUUGCAGAGUCAAUAUAUUGUAAUAUAAUCUCAUCCGACCAAGCCAAUUGGUAAGGAUCAAUCCCUUUAUAUUGAUGCCAGAAGCGUGAUUUUUGCAUAAAAAGUCAGAUAACUAUUGAUUUUGGAAAAAAAGAAAUUUUUUUUGGCUAAAUAAUAUACAUUUAGAGAUCUUUGAACAAUUUUAUUCCGGUCUAAAGACAAGACAG